UUGCUCAAGUAUGGAGGCCACUCACGAUCGAUUCACUAAAGCAGAGAGGCCAUUCUUUAUCGAUCCAAAAUUCUACUCAGUGAGGUUAGAUUCAUGGUUUUUGAUUCCCAGCUCCGGACUGUGACCUAGCAUUCAAACGGCACCAAGCGAGUAACUUCGAUCAACCCUUUCAUCGACUCAACUUCUAUCCAGGGCUUCAACAUUGGUUCAGCAUUACGGUAACGGUUUGCAUUACUAUUGGCUUGAUAUUGUACUGUUGGUGAUAGCUACCAUCUGGAUUUUGAUCGGUUGUGUUGGUAUAUGUUGAGUUAUUCGUAGGCUGUAUUAUUUUCUUCUGGUGUUUUGGAUAAACAUGAUUUAAUCCUGCUGUUUGAUGCUGUACGUUUAAGGUCAUAAAUCUUGUUUCGAGUAUGUCCUUAAUUUCCAAUUGUCCACUUUAUUGUCAUUCAAAUUGUUGAUGUUGUAAAGUUAAAAAAAAACAUGGUUUUGCUUGUUGAUUAUCUGUUUAAAAUUGUGCCGUCUUUAGAGCCAAUUCGUGUUUUAAUCCAAAAUUCUGGUUGGCUUUCGCAUUGAGUUCGAUUGAUUCAUUGGCAUACAGAGUUUAAGCUGAAUAAGUUUUACUGCGUGAUUCUAAAGGUUUGCUUGCCUGGUAAUGACAGAGUGCAUAGAUAAGUAAUGUCUAGCCAUCAUAUGCAUUUCGUUUCGAAUAGCAAUUUGAUGCGUUAAUUGGAAUCAUGAGUGUUAAUGUAUGGCUUUACAAGUUUUAUUGAAAAACAUGGUUUUUGCAUGUUAAUAUUGCUUAAGUUGUCACAUAUUAUGAUGGGUUUUCAUGUGUGUUCUAGGGCGUUACUGUUGGUUCGAGUCUUUUCUUCUCCCUAAGCUUUAAUUCGGAAUGAAAGUAGCAUUUAAAGCAUCACGAUAAUGACUAUUAGAAUUCUAAUUUUACAAAGUAUACAUUAGUUAGUUACACUGAAUUCCGGAUUAUGGCGUGGCUUUUCUAGUUUCGGUACUCCGUAGGAAAAGGUUGUGGAGUGGGUUUACAGCCCUAUGAUUUUUCUUGCAAUUAGAAUGACAUUCAUAAUUGAUAUUUCUUUUAUUGAAUAUUUAGAGUUGUGUUGUUGUUAUAACUAUUGUAAAUAAUAUCAUUGUUUUUUUUUAUGAAUUUAAAUCCAGUGGAUCCGACUUCUACGUGUCGAUAUACCCUCAAAAGUUUCAACACAUCGAAAGAAUAUUUUUCGCCGAGUUAUGAGUUCGCGAAUAACAUUAAUUGUUGCUAUCUCGCAUAAACCGGUCUGAACACACCGAUUCAAUUCCUAUAAAUCAAAGUUGUCACUAAUUUGUUUUUUUCAUAAAAAAUAUUAUUAGUUGAAUUUUUGUCUGAUUAAUUGCUUUUAAUUAAUUAACCUUAAUUAACUUAAUUAUUUAAGAUAAUUAAAUAGUUUUGAUAAUUAGUUUUAAUUAAUUCGAUUAAUCAACUUACUUAAAAUUUGAUAAUAAUCAAAGGAUUUUCUUUUCCAUCACCAUUUCACAAUCAUUCUUAAUUCAACUUCAUUUCAAUUCAUUAUCCAUUCAAAGCCAAUUUCAAAAAGCACAAAUCACAAUUCUCGAUUUAACAUCGAGUCCAUUUUAAAACACCCUUGUAAGUCGAUUGCUCUUCGCAUCGCCAUCAACCUCACAUAGCUUACUCUUGGGCUUUCUUACAAUGAAGCCUACUUGGUUAUUGACUAAUCGAGUAGAUGAAAUAAUACACUAAAUAAAAAUUCAUUUCAUUUAUAAACACAAAUUCCAAUCACUUUUCCAAACCAUUCAAUUUCAAAAGAAUUUUCUUUUAAACAUAAAUUUGGGAUGAAAAGGAGAUAGGAAGCGUACGCUUCACUAUUUCUCAAGCACUUGAAUAAUUGGCGUACGCCAUAUUGCGCGAGUUCUUGUCACCCGAUUAAAUCUUAAAUCACACAAUUUCAAAUCAUUUCUACAAAUUCCAAAUACUUUUAAUUCCAUAUUUCAGAUGAAAAGGAGAAUAGUGAGCAUCCGCUUCAUUAUCUCUCGAUUAUUCGAAUAAUUGGCGUACGCCACAUUGCUCGAAUCUUCGUCAUCAAUUCAAAACCACAAUCGAAUAAACCCAAACCUACCAAAAUUCAAACCAUUUUCGCACAUCAAAUGCAACAUCCAAACAUAUCUUUUACAAUUUAAACCUCGGAUGAUAAAAGAGAUAGGAGGCGUACGCCUCACCAUCUCUCAAUUAUUUGAAUAAUUGGCGAACGCCAUAUUGCACAAAUUAUCGACGUCCGACUAAAACACGCUAAAUAAACUUGGAUAAGGGAAUAAGAGACCCACCUUCAUCUCCUCCACAAAUCACCGUCAUCACGCUCACCACCACCAAACCCCAAAUCGCUUCACCUUCAAAAACCCUCAACCCUCUUCUCCUUCGUCAUCAACCGCUUCAAACCCUAUCCACCACUCUAACCAUCAAACCCUCACCGUGAAUCGCCAUCACUAACCGUGAAGCUCGCCGCCGCUCAAACCUCCGCUUCUUCACCACCAACAAACCCUCGCGAAUCCACCAUCUCCAACUCACCAUCGAAACCCAUUCACCUCACAACCCCAAAAUCGUCCACGGUUCUCCACCAGGAACAACUCCACGAACAACCACCUCCGUAAAAAACGCGACACACCACCAACACCUCAAAACCCUCGCUCCAUCCGCUACUGCAACUCUUUUACUCCACCGACAAAACGCACACAACCGUCAUUCAUUCUUGCUCAAGUAUGGAGGCCACUCACGAUCGAUUCACUAAAGCAGAGAGGCCAUUCUUUAUCGAUCCAAAAUUCUACUCAGUGAGGUUAGAUUCAUGGUUUUUGAUUCCCAGCUCCGGACUGUGACCUAGCAUUCAAACGGCACCAAGCGAGUAACUUCGAUCAACCCUUUCAUCGACUCAACUUCUAUCCAGGGCUUCAACAUUGGUUCAGCAUUACGGUAACGGUUUGCAUUACUAUUGGCUUGAUAUUGUACUGUUGGUGAUAGCUACCAUCUGGAUUUUGAU
rnacentral:lncRNA from 1 species